GCGGAUGCUCGGUCCGCUGGAAUGUAACCUUUAAGGUUGAACCACAAA
rnacentral:ncRNA from 1 species